UAUCUAGCUUGCUAGAGAUGAUUAGUGGCGGACGGGUGAGUAACAUUUAGGAAUCUGCCUAGUAGUGGGGGAUAGCUCGGGGAAACUCGAAUUAAUACCGCAUACGACCUACGGGUGAAAGGGGGCGCAAGCUCUUGCUAUUAGAUGAGCCUAAAUCAGAUUAGCUAGUUGGUGAGGUAAAGGCUUACCAAGGCGACGAUCUGUAACUGGUCUGAGAGGAUGAUCAGUCACACCGGAACUGAGACACGGUCCGGACUCCUACGGGAGGCAGCAGUGGGGAAUAUUGCACAAUGGGCGCAAGCCUGAUGCAGCGACGCCGCGUGAGGGAUGACGGCCUUCGGGUUGUAAACCUCUUUCAGUAGGGAAGAAGCGAAAGUGACGGUACCUGCAGAAGAAGCACCGGCUAACUACGUGCCAGCAGCCGCGGUAAUACGUAGGGUGCGAGCGUUAUCCGGAAUUAUUGGGCGUAAAGAGCUCGUAGGCGGUUUGUCGCGUCUGUCGUGAAAGUCCGGGGCUUAACCCCGGAUCUGCGGUGGGUACGGGCAGACUAGAGUGCAGUAGGGGAGACUGGAAUUCCUGGUGUAGCGGUGGAAUGCGCAGAUAUCAGGAGGAACACCGAUGGCGAAGGCAGGUCUCUGGGCUGUAACUGACGCUGAGGAGCGAAAGCAUGGGGAGCGAACAGGAUUAGAUACCCUGGUAGUCCAUGCCGUAAACGUUGGGCACUAGGUGUGGGGACCAUUCCACGGUUUCCGCGCCGCAGCUAACGCAUUAAGUGCCCCGCCUGGGGAGUACGGCCGCAAGGCUAAAACUCAAAGGAAUUGACGGGGGCCCGCACAAGCGGCGGAGCAUGCGGAUUAAUUCGAUGCAACGCGAAGAACCUUACCAAGGCUUGACAUGUUCUCGAUCGCCGUAGAGAUACGGUUUCCCCUUUGGGGCGGGUUCACAGGUGGUGCAUGGUUGUCGUCAGCUCGUGUCGUGAGAUGUUGGGUUAAGUCCCGCAACGAGCGCAACCCUCGUUCCAUGUUGCCAGCACGUCGUGGUGGGGACUCAUGGGAGACUGCCGGGGUCAACUCGGAGGAAGGUGAGGAUGACGUCAAAUCAUCAUGCCCCUUAUGUCUUGGGCUUCACGCAUGCUACAAUGGCCGGUACAAUGGGUUGCGAUACUGUGAGGUGGAGCUAAUCCCAA
rnacentral:rRNA from 1 species